UACGGGGGGAGCAAGCGUUGUUCGGAUUUACUGGGCGUAAAGGGCGCGUAGGCGGCCACCGCAAGUCGGUUGUGAAAUCUCCGGGCUUAACCCGGAAAGGUCAAUCGAUACUGCGGGGCUAGAGUGCAGAAGGGGCAACUGGAAUUCUCGGUGUAGCGGUGAAAUGCGUAGAUAUCGAGAGGAACACCCGUGGCGAAGGCGGGUAGCUGGGCCGACACUGACGCUGAUGCGCGAAAGCCAGGGGAGCGAACGGG
rnacentral:rRNA from 1 species